GACAGAGUCUCUCACUCUGUCGCCCAGGCUGUGUGGAUGCCACGUAAGGCAAGUGCUUACUAUAUGUUUCUGUAAUGAGUAUGCAUUUGUUUAUAGGGCCUUCGUAGAAGGUGGUAAAAACAGAGUUGCCACUCUCGGUGUGGCCACGUGAGCACGUCCCACUUAAGCUCCCAGUCCUCUUCCAGAAUGCAACGUUAAGUUUAAAUUCAAAUUAAAACCAAAUUCUAACAUCCAUGGUCUGUGAUCAUCCAGGUGUCUGGUUGUGCUCUUCAUUUUUGACAUGUUCAAGAACUGAAUUUUUUUCCCAAAUCAUAAAUAACUAAAUGAGUGUGAUGUCUGGUUUCUUUACUUCUGCAAGUGUUUUUAAAACAGGAAGAGAAUCAAUA
rnacentral:lncRNA from 1 species